CCAGACUCCUACGGGAGGCAGCAGUGGGGACUCUUGCACAAUGGGCGCCCGCCUGAUGCCGCCCUGCCGCGUGUCUGCCGAAGGCCUUCGGGUUGUAAAGUCCUUUCAGCGGGGCGGCCGGUGUUGAGGUUCCUCACCACAGCCCUUGACGUUACCCGCCGCCGAAGCACCGGCUCACUCCGUGCCAGCCGCCGCGGUCCUCCGGAGGGUGCCCGCGUUAAUCGGAAUUACUGGGCGUAAAGCGCACGCAGGCGGUCUGGCAAGUCGGAUGUGAAAGCCCCGGGCUCAACCGGGGAACUGCAUUCGAAACUGGCAGGCUGGAGGCGGGUAGAGGGGGGGAGAAUUCCAGGGGGAGCGGUGAAAGGCGGAGAGAUCUGGAGGAAGACCGGUGGAGAAGGCGGCCCCCGGGACAAAGACUGACGCUCAGGUGCGAAAGCGUGGGGAGCAAACAGGAUUAGAUACCCCCGUA
rnacentral:rRNA from 1 species